rnacentral:rRNA from 1 species
UGGGCUUGACAUCCCACGAACCUGGCGAAAGUCGGGAGUGCCCGCAAGGGAGCGCAGAGACAGGUGGUGCAUGGCUGUCGUCAGCUCGUGUCGUGAGAUGUUGGGUUAAGUCCCGCAACGAGCGCAACCCUCACCCUUUGUUGCCAUCAGGUCACGCUGGGCACUCUAAGGGAACUGCCCCGGUUAACGGGGAGGAAGGUGGGGAUGACGUCAAGUCAUCAUGCCCCUUACGCUCUGGGCUACACACGUGCUACAAUGGCCAAUACAAAGGGCUGCGAACCCGCGAGGGGGAGCUAAUCCCAAAAAGUUGGUCUCAGUUCAGAUUGUAGGCUGCGACCCGCCUACAUGAAGGAGGAAUCGCUAGUAAUCGUGGAUCAGCAUGCCACGGUGAAUACGUUCCCGGGCCUUGUACACACCGCCCGUCACACCACGAAAGUCUGCUGUACUCGAAGUCGCUGAGAAUCUC